AUUGAACGCUGGCGGCAUGCUUUACACAUGCAAGUCGAACGGUAACAGGCCGCAAGGUGCUGACGAGUGGCGAACGGGUGAGUAAUGCAUCGGAACGUGCCCAGUCGUGGGGGAUAACGCAGCGAAAGCUGCGCUAAUACCGCAUACGAUCUAUGGAUGAAAGCGGGGGACCGUAAGGCCUCGCGCGAUUGGAGCGGCCGAUGUCAGAUUAGGUAGUUGGUGGGGUAAAGGCUCACCAAGCCAACGAUCUGUAGCUGGUCUGAGAGGACGACCAGCCACACUGGGACUGAGACACGGCCCAGACUCCUACGGGAGGCGGCAGUGGGGAAUUUUGGACAAUGGGCGCAAGCCUGAUCCAGCAAUGCCGCGUGCAGGAAGAAGGCCUUCGGGUUGUAAACUGCUUUUGUACGGAACGAAACGGCCCUGGUUAAUACCCGGGGCUAAUGACGGUACCGUAAGAAUAAGCACCGGCUAACUACGUGCCAGCCGCCGCCGUAAUAC
rnacentral:rRNA from 1 species